AGAGAAAGUAAAAGUCAAUGCUGGAAUGAAGAUGAGGGCAGAAUUAAGGCCAAUGUCUUACAUCAUCCAUAUACUAACUACGAUUAAUCCAUGAUGCUUUUAAGAUACAGGUGAAGAACACAUCCUGUUCCAAACCCAUGUUCCCAACCCAUGCCUAAACCCAGUGGCACCUGUAUGGCUGAACAGAUUCUGUACUACGUGAAUAAUACAGUAAUAUGCAAAUGGAUGUACAAAAAUGUGUUUUGGGAAAAUCCUGUUUUGUGAUGAGGAAAAGGAACAAGAACAAUAUUUCCCUUUCCUUGAAUUCAGCUGUCAGAUCUUCACAGCAGUAUGUUACGCGAGAAGAAGAAAAUGAAACCAGUUCCACUGAAGAGAUCUCUUGGACCGCUCACACUGUGCCAGGCCCUGAGUGCACCACCGGGCCUGGCUGUCCCUCCCAAUCCCAGUGGGAUCUCCAGCACCCCAUUUCAGCCCUAGAGGCCUCCUCCAAGCACAGGCUUCUACAUCUGCUCGGGGUCACCAUUCUCUGCCCCAUUGAGGCUGCAGCAGGGCUAGGCAACAGCCAUGGCUUUUGCCCAGCUGUCCUGUCCCUGCCUUGGCCAUGCCCAGCCCUGUCCGUGGGGAUGUGUCUGGUGCCAGGGCUGGAGAUGCUCAGAUCUGGCAGGGGCAGCAGGAGAGGAUGGGCUGCCUGGACCUGCACUGAGCUCCACUGUAGUCCACAGGCAGACCCCAGCCCUGUGAAAAUAUGGCUGUUGGAUCUAAUGUGCUCCAGGCUUGGGAAGCUGCUGUAUAUGUCCCUCUGCAUGCCUACAGACACACCAGACAACUUGUGCUCUUCCCCUUCCUAUCUUUAAAUUUAUGUCUCCUGAAGCUGCUGUUUGCAACACCACAGGCUGCCCAGUAGAGUCACCAUCCCUGAAGGUUUUCAAGUAAAGGGUAGAUGUGGCACUGAGGGACAUGGUUAGUGGGAAUAGUG